UUGGCUUGCUGAAUUAGUGAUCGGCAGGUCUGUUUAAACUAUCCGGUUAACGCCGGUCCUACUUUGGAGAAAAAUAUGUCACUAACUAAUGUAGAAAGUGCAAAAAUCUUAGCUGAUUUUGGUGUUAAAGAA
rfam:Paraglaciecola sp. S66 Contig18, whole genome shotgun sequence.